CAAGCGUUGUUCGGAAUUAUUGGGCGUAAAGCGCGUGUAGGCGGCUUUGCAAGUCGGGGGUGAAAGCCCUCGGCUCAACCGAGGAAGUGCGCCCGAAACUGCAGAGCUUGAGUGCCGGAGAGGAUGGCGGAAUUCCCCAAGUAGAGGUGAAAUUCGUAGAUAUGGGGAGGAACACCGGUGGCGAAGGCGGCCAUCUGGACGGCAACUGACGCUGAGACGCGAAAGCGUGGGGAGCAAACAGG
rnacentral:rRNA from 1 species